CUGGCCUCAAACUCACAGAGAUCCUCCUGUCUCUGCCUCCCACAUGCUGGGAUUAAAGGCAUACACCAGCACGUCUGGCAACUUGGUGUAAUUUUUAACAUUUAAAAAACAGGAAAAAAAAUCAAAAGUCUAGAUUUUUAGUUUAUCCUGCAUCGCCACUGGGCUAUUGCUUACUCUGUGUCCACUGGUCCCUGCACUGCACCCCAUCUGUUCUGAACAAUAGCUGCAUCGAAGCAUGCCAGUCUUGGCUUUGGGACUGGGAAUUAGACACACUGAUGAAUAGGAUUAUAGUUCCUCAUCUUCUAAACCACCUCACCAGUGGACCAUCUGACCCAUCGUUCCAGGCACUUUAGUUAUGCCCUGGGUAAGGUAUCAUCUUCCUGGAAAUCAUUUCCCACCUCUGUAGACUCACAGACGACUAUGUUUCUCACAGAUGACCAUGUUUCUCACAGGCACAUCUUGUCCAGGCUUCUCAAGAUCUUUAUGUCUCCAGGAAGCCUUGCCCAUGCAUUAUUGCAAAGACAGAGGCUAUGUGUCCCUCAGUGCCUUGACUUCUGUCUUUCCCUCCUCCAAGUUCUCUCUUAUCCUUCCUCCCUCUCUCCUUCUCUUCUUUCUUCCAACUCUUCUAAAGAUGUACAAUAAGCAACCCUAAGACAGGCUUUUAAGAUAAUGACCUCUCAUGUCCGUAUCAGCCGGGUCAAGAAUUAGCCUGUCUUCCCUGAGCUCCUGCCUCUUCUCCCAUUCUGAUGCCAGAGGAAAAGUCCCUUGAUUUUCUUGUUCUUCUAUCAAAAUGUGUGCAUAAGUAGAUGCUCAUUGCAGUUUUAUUCUGAAUUGCCACUGGGAGCUGCUAAUAUACAGAACUCUACGGGUCCACUAGCUCCUGGCCGUCAGCCAUGUUGGAAUCCCAUGUUGGAGUCCCAGCUGAUUUGACUGGACAUCAUGGUAGAUAUUGAGAGAGACAUGCCAGUGUCUCCCACAGUGACUCUGGAGUUAUCUUAGACAGAUACGUCACUAUUUGUAUAUUUCCAAGGUAAAUGUGUUCAAUGUUAUAAUGUUACAGCCUCCUGGGAAUUGAACUUUUAUAAUGAAAAGAGUUGUUCUUUAUUCCUACUAAUGCCUUUUGCUUUAUAUUCAUCGAGUUGUUAUUCUGUUUUACUUUAAGAAAGUAAAUGUUUUAUGUACACGCGUGUCUGUGUGGGUAUGCAUGUGUAAGGGCAAUGCCUUUGGAGACCAGAAGAAAGUGGUGUUACAGAUGAGUGAAGCCAUGCCAGGGUGCUGAGGGUUCAAACUCAGACCCUCAUGUUUGUGCAGCAAGCUCUCACACCCAUGGAACCAUUUUCACAGCUCAGAAAGAUGUUGUUUCUGUCUUGUGUUACUUGCACUCUUGGUAUGGCUUUCCAGUGCUAUUUUUCUGUCUUUAGUUUCUCAUUGACAGACUUCUCACUUUCCCUCUCUUCAGCUUUCCUUCUUCCCUCUCAAGCAGGCCUUUCACGGUAUGACCUGGUGGUCUUUCUCUUUAUAUUUGCCUAGCAUUGUAAAUCAUUUUCAAUUUCUCCCUAUACACUAGAACCUCUCCUACAAACACAUUCAAGUGUCUUCUAUACAAACACAGCCAGCUUCUUAUUCUUGUGGCCUUCCCUCUUUUCUAACCAAGAAUCUAGAAGGUACUCCUUUUGGUGAAAAUUCUUGCUAGGACAGUUUAUCGACCCUUAUGUUUCUUUCCACCCUGCUCCAGAUCCACACUGACAAGCUCGGAUCAGUGUCCUGUCGUGAUGGAUUAGCUCAGCCAGGAGAAGUUUACACAUCACUGGAGAAGUGUGAAGGGGGAGUGGGGAUGGAAAAAAAAUAGAGACGCAGGAAGAGAUUUAUAAUGUUUUAAACUACACAGCCCAGCCCGGAACUUUCCAUAAAAACUUACUCCUCGCUCUGCCUGUUCCUCACUUUUAUUGCCAGAGUAUCUGAAUGGGCAACCCAGGCUUGCUGUUUCCAUUACUGAAGCACACACUUGUAUUUAAAUGGUGUGAGAACCACCCUGCUUGCCCAAGUACGGUUUUAAGAAACAAAACGGAACAGGGUCUUGUAUAGCCCAGGGUGGCUUUCAAGCUCCUUUUUUGUAGCUGAGGAUGACCUUGGACUUUUGAUCCUCCUGCCUCCACUUUCCAAGUGUUGGGAUUACAGGCGUUCUCCACCAUGCCUGGUUUCAUGAGGUGCUGAGGAUUGAACUCAGGGCUUUGUGUAAGUCACAUUCCCAGCUCUACGGCAGGUUUCUCUUGGUCCUUAUCCUGUCUGGCCCUUUAAAGAGUUUGACUCUCUCUCUCUCUCUCUCUCUCUCUCUCUCUCUCUCUCUCUCUCUUCCUCUAAAACUCUGAAACUCGUCUCCCCUAGGUGCUGGGAGGCUUGAGACUCUAGGGUCUCCCAACUUCUCCUUCCAUUCCACCUUCCACUUCCUAUGGUUUCUUGGUCCUCUUUUGGCUUCUCUUUCUAUUUCUUAUUAUGGAAUCCUCCCAUCACUUCUUUUGAUGCCCAGAGCUACCCUUCCGGCCAGGGCCAUUCAGUAGAUUCCACUCUUGCCUUUCUUGAUGACUGUUGUUUAUUUCUUCUGUGUGUCCUAGAAGCCCUUCAAAAUUAUUCUUAAAGUUGAGUUCAUAGUUUCCACCCACAAACUUCCUCUUUCUUAUAAUCCCCCCACCCAUGUGUGAGUAUCAUGAUACAACCCCCACUCCGCUCCCAUUUUAUCCCUUAUAUUAGAAACCUUUUCUUUUAUCUCUGUUUCUUCAUUCUGUAGACUUCACAGGAUUCAUUCAGAUGUCUCAGUUCUAAAAAGACAAAACAAAACAAAACAGGACCUUAAAAUGGAUAUAUGGAAAAGAGAAGUGUAUUUCAGUAAUGAGAAACAUGGGUCAAAUAUGGGUCUGUCUAGGACUAGAGGGUACUACACACAACACAAGUUUUGAGGUUGCUUUUCCUCAGCCAUAAGAUGUGAGUAAGGCUCAUUAACUCACCAGUUUAUUGACUGGAUUAGAUGAUUUACAAAUAUAUAAAAUACAUAUUGGAGAUGGUGUCUUCCACAUAUUCAAGUUCACAAUAAUCACUUUUUCCCCCCUCAGUCUCCGGAGUGCUGGGAUUACAGGCGUGAUCCACCAUGCCCGGCUCAUUAAUGAAAACGUUGUUUCAUAAUACUGAAAGCAAAGGCGCUAAGGAAACCAAGAAUGAAGUGGCAGAUAUGGGCCAUCAUCUUUGAGGGUGUGAAAGAAGAUUGGAGACCCUAUCUUGGUGGUCUUCUUUAGCUUGGACCAUGUGGGUCUCACUCCAUAAUGGUGUGAAAGCCACCUCAAGGCAGGGUAGGGUGCUGCAACCUUAGCUCUGCUGCCAUAAACCCAGGAGCAGAGGACCACAGAGGAGGAAGUCCUGCCUAGAGGAACAGAAUGGACUGGUGGCGGCGAGCUUUGAGAUCACACCUCAAACCCAGGAACCUGUUAUGACUGGGUUAUCUCCUUCCUCUCAGCGGGAGCUGGAACAACUCUGAGUCGGCAUCCUGACUUUUGGCCCCUUUACAUGAAACCAUAUGUGGAGGAACUAGGAGUGGUGUAGCUGGCUGUACAUUGGACCUAAGAAGUGGAAAUUUCUUAUUUCAUUGUAAAGUCAGCUAUAUCAAACGAUGUUUUGCUGGGGAACACAGGCGAAAGGAAGUUUUGCUAAAGCAGACAUGUGAAAGAUGCAUGAUGCUUAGAAGGCAUAUAAAUGUGAUCCCACAGACAGUGGGAGCUUGAGCAUUGGUUCACUUUGCUCCACCUGGCUAUUCUUCACUGACAGACGUGCAUGCAUGUAUUGGUUCACCUUAUAUUGCAUUGCUGAGCUCCGCCUGUGGUGGCGCCAUAGAGAGAAAUUUGCCAAAGAACUUCUCCGUGAGGUUCCUGCUGCUUCCUCAAGCUGGUUGGUGAGCCUUGUGGUUUCUUCUGGAUUGAACUGCCCUUGCUGGUUCACAUGUGGUGACUGCCAAGUGGACUGGACUGCAGCUGCUGAUUCCUGUUUGGUGUUUUCUACUGAACUGAAACUGCUGAUAUCCUGACAAUGAAAAUUGGACUUGUCCCCAAAGAGCUAUUUGUAAACAGGUCUACUUCCACACCAUGUCCUAAUAACUUUUAUCUUCCACCAAUGUUGGUGGGUGGUGGCUUAGAGAGGAGGUUGAAUGUUUAUUAAAGUAGGCUGGAAAAAAAA